rnacentral:tRNA from 1 species
CAAGGAAGCAUGAAAAAUAAUAAGUACUGCUAAUCCUUAUUAACCAAGGUUAAACUCCUUGGCUCCCUU